UAGAAGUUGCAAAACUCUCUAAACCAUCGUGAAUUCUACUGUCGAACAAGUUGCUUCGGCGGGCGGUCCCGGGGAGGGGCCGUAGCCCGCGAGGGCGCCCGCCGGAGGACCCAAACCUCUGAAUUUCCAAGUCUCUCUGAGCAGAAAACAAAUGAAUCA
rnacentral:misc_RNA from 1 species